rnacentral:lncRNA from 1 species
UUUUUUUUUUUUUGGUUUAUCUAGUUUCUAUAGUUCCUUGACAGGGGCAUCACAUUAGACUUCUGAAGGUUGAGAGGUUCUUUUUGUGUGACAAGCAUGCUUGAUCCACUAUGGUUGCAUGUUGGGAUGUGAGCCACAUUUAUGAGCCAUUAGCCAUAUGAGAGAGAGUGAGAGAUCUAGAGAAUAUUUUGAUUCCUGGGCAUAUUGUAUAAAACCCCCGUGAUAGCAGGUCACCUAGGGGGAGGGGGGCGGGGCAAAAGAGAUGGAGUUUUGGAGAUGUGUCUAGAGUAUGAGUGAAGUACUAACUGUCUAAGCAUAAUUGGGGAUCCCCCACUCCCCAACAAUGUGGUUAAUUCAC